AUGGCGAAACCUCCUCCAUCCGCGGCGGCGUCGGCCGCCGGCGGCCGCGGCCCUGCCCACCACCGGACCCGCCUCCUCCUCCUGCUCCUCGUAGCCGUGGCUGCCUCCGCCUUCACCGCUGGUUAUGUCCUCCGCGGCGGCCCUGUCGGCCCAUGCGAUACCCGAGGGGAUCCUGUAGACGUCGUUGCCGCCCGAGCUGGCGGUGCUGCCUCGAGCCCCCUCGGGUUCAUGAAGUCCAAGCUCGUGCUGCUUGUCUCCCACGAACUCUCCCUCUCCGGUGGACCGUUAUUACUGAUGGAGUUGGCGUUUCUUCUUCGGCAGGUUGGUUGCCAAGUGGUAUGGAUAACAAACCAGCGACCCGAAGGAACAAACGAUGUUUCAUAUAGCUUGGAGCAUAAGAUGUUGAACCAUGGAGUGCAGGUUUUACCUGCUAGGGGACAGGAGGCAGUUGAGACUGCUCUUAAGGCUGACCUGGUUAUCUUGAACACCGCUGUUGCUGGCAAGUGGCUUGAUGCUGUUCUAAAAGAUAAUGUUCCUCAAGUCCUUCCGAAGAUUUUGUGGUGGAUCCAUGAAAUGCGAGGACAUUACUUUAAGCUUGAGUAUGUGAAACAUCUUCCUUUGGUUGCUGGAGCCAUGAUCGAUUCUCACAUAACAGUUGAAUAUUGGAAGACCAGGACUCAUGACCGUCUAAAUAUACAGAUGCCACAAACUUUUGCUGUUCACCUCGGGAAUAGUAAAGAGUUAACAGAAGUUGCCGAAGAUAAUGUCGCAAGAAGAGUCUUACGUGAACAUAUACGCGAGUCCCUUGGAGUUAAGAGUGAAGAUCUCCUAUUUGCUAUGAUAAACAGUGUUUCACGGGGAAAAGGACAAGACUUAUUUCUUCAAGCAUUUCAUCAGAGCCUGCAACUCAUCCAACAUCAGAAGUUAAAAGCGCCUAAAGUGCAUGCUGUAGUUGUCGGAAGUGAUAUGAGUGCUCAGACGAAGUAUGAGACACAGUUACGUGAUUUUGUGGCGAAGAAUGGGAUCCAUGACAGUGUUCACUUUAUAAACAAGACGUUGGCAGUGGCACCUUAUUUGGCUGCAAUUGAUGUGCUUGUCCAGAACUCUCAGGCCCGUGGAGAAUGUUUUGGAAGGAUAACGAUAGAAGCAAUGGCGUUCAAGUUGCCAGUGCUGGGCACGGCUGCCGGAGGGACCACCGAAAUCGUCUUGGAUGGUUCAACUGGCCUUCUGCACCCUGCUGGAAAGGAGGGCGUCACGCCUCUCGCCAAGAACAUGGUAAGGCUUGCGAGCCAUGUUGAGCAGAGGGUCUCCAUGGGAAACAAGGGCUAUGCCAGGGUGAAGGAGAGGUUCAUGGAGCACCACAUGGCCGAACGCAUUGCUGUGGUGCUGAAGGAAGUUCUACACAAGUCUCAGCAGCAUCCUCAUUCCUGA
rnacentral:rRNA from 1 species